rnacentral:misc_RNA from 1 species
GCUAAUGUUGGGGACCACAGCUCUUAGAGCAAAGAGCCUAUCAUUAAGCUUCUUCCUCCUAUUCCUCUCCGAAACAAUAUUCUUAGAAGCUGCCGCCGAAGCACCACCGUCCGGUGAACUGGAAUCGUAAUAGCCGGAAAACGUCUCAUCCAUGGCCCAGCUGCUUAAAAUUAAGGAGCUUAAUUUGUAAGUUGCAAAAUCAUCCCUAUCAAAAUCAAGCUCUUCAUUUGGGAAAAACAUUUUAGGUUCCCAAUAGUUUUGAUACUCAUCACCAAUAUUUUCAAUAGGUUCCAUUGGAGAAGAGCUUAAUUAUGUUGCAGAGAGAGAGAGAGAGAG